rnacentral:rRNA from 1 species
GACGAACGCUGGCGGCGUGCUUAACACAUGCAAGUCGAACGGAAAGGCCCUGCUUUUGUGGGGUACUCGAGUGGCGAACGGGUGAGUAACACGUGAGUAACCUGCCCUUGUCUUUGGGAUAACUUCAGGAAACUGGGGCUAAUACCGGAUAGGAGCUCCUGCUGCAUGGUGGGGGUUGGAAAGUUUCGGCGGUUGGGGAUGGACUCGCGGCUUAUCAGCUUGUUGGUGGGGUAGUGGCUUACCAAGGCUUUGACGGGUAGCCGGCCUGAGAGGGUGACCGGCCACAUUGGGACUGAGAUACGGCCCAGACUCCUACGGGAGGCAGCAGUGGGGAAUAUUGCACAAUGGGCGGAAGCCUGAUGCAGCAACGCCGCGUGCGGGAUGACGGCCUUCGGGUUGUAAACCGCUUUCGCCUGUGACGAAGCGUGAGUGACGGUAAUGGGUAAAGAAGCACCGGCUAACUACGUG